ensembl:lncRNA
CUCAGGUUCUGUAACGCUUCAAAUGUGAUUCCACCGGAUUAACGUAUUGCCCCAAAUCUGCGUGUGGGCUAGGGCCUGGAGGUCUGAGGAUGGCAGAAGUUGGAGACCCACCCACUGUACCUCAGAAGGCUCUGUGAGGUCCUGUGAUAUAUGUUUGAACAAUGCAGAUGGGGAAACUGUGGCCCACCCAGGCAUAAGGACGCCCGUUUUGAAUCCUGUCUCCGCACUGCAGCACCCAGGCCUCCACUUUGGCGCAGACGUCUUCCACCCUCUGGGCCACAGCCUCCCAUCUCUGAGGGCUUGCCCCUGGCCGCGGUAUCACUCUCAACUGUAGGAAGAAGAAAAAGAACCUCUUGAUCCUGCCUGUUCAUCCUGCCCUUCGGCACACCUUCGCAGUAAAGCUUAAGCACCGUC